rnacentral:rRNA from 1 species
UGGGGAAUAUUGGACAAUGGGCGAAAGCCUGAUCCAGCCAUGCCGCGUGAGUGACGAAGGCCUUAGGGUUGUAAAACUCUUUCGUCGGGGACGAUAAUGACGGUACCCGAAGAAGAAGCUCCGGCUAACUUCGUGCCAGCAGCCGCGGUAAUACGAAGGGAGCUAGCGUUGUUCGGAUUUACUGGGCGUAAAGGGCGCGUAGGCGGCAUGACAAGUCACUUGUGAAAUCUCUGGGCUUAACCCAGAACGGCCAAGUGAUACUGUCGCGCUAGAGUGCAGAAGGGGCAAUCGGAAUUCUUGGUGUAGCGGUGAAAUGCGUAGAUAUCAAGAGGAACACCUGAGGUGAAGACGGGUUGCUGGGCUGACACUGACGCUGAGGCGCGAAAGCCAGGGGAGCAAACGGGAUUAGAUACCCCCGUAGUCCCUGAGCGGGCUGGCAAGGCGCAU